rnacentral:rRNA from 1 species
GACGAACGCUGGCGGCGUGCUUAACACAUGCAAGUCGAACGGCAAGGCCCUGCUUUUGUGGUCUGCUCGAGUGGCGAACGGGUGCGUAACACGUGAGUAACCUGCCCUUGACUUUGGUAUAACUUCAGGAAACUGGGGCUAAUACCGGAUAGGAUCUCCUGCUGCAUGGUGGGCGUUGGAACGUUUCAGCGGUUGGGGUUGGACUCGCGGCUUAUCAGCUUGUUGGUGGGGUAGUGGCUUACCCAGGCUUUGACGGGUAGCCGGCCUGGGAGGGUGACCGGGCACAAGGGGACUGAGGGAGGGAGCAGAGGGGUACGGGGGGCAGCAGGGGGGAGUAUGGCACAAUGGGAGGGAGCGGGAGGAAGAGGCGCUGCGUGCGGGAAGACGGCCUGCGGGGUGAAAACAGCUGUCGCCUGUGACGAAGCGGGAGUGACGGUAAUGGAUAAAGAAGCACCGGCUAACUACGUG